rnacentral:pre_miRNA from 1 species
CAGUGCUAUGGGGUCACAGGAGGCAGAGCUCUCAGUGUCUCUACCAUGGCCUGGAUCCCUCUCCUGCUCCCCCUCUUCACUCUCUGCACAGGUGC